AUUGAACGCUGGCGGAAUGCUUUACACAUGCAAGUCGAACGGCAGCACGGGGGCAACCCUGGUGGCGAGUGGCGAACGGGUGAGUAAUACAUCGGAACGUGCCCAGUCGUGGGGGAUAACGUAGCGAACGUUACGCUAAUACCGCAUACGAUCUACGGAUGAAAGCGGGGGACCGUAAGGCAUCGCGCGAUUGGCGCGGCCGAUGGCAGAUUAGGUAGUUGAUGAGGUAAAGGCUCACCAAGCCGACGAUCUGUAGCUGGUCUGAGAGGACGACCAGCCACACUGGGACUGAGACACGGCCCAGACUCCUACGGGAGGCAGCAGUGGGGAAUUUUGGACAAUGGGCGCAAGCCUGAUCCAGCCAUUCCGCGUGCAGGACGAAGGCCUUCGGGUUGUAAACUGCUUUUGUACGGAACGAAAAGGCUCUGGUUAAUACCUGGGGCUCAUGACGGUACCGUAAGAAUAAGCACCGGCUAACUACGUGCCAGCAGCCGCCGUAA
rnacentral:rRNA from 1 species